AUGAAGCAACCCAUCAGUCGCGCCAUCUCCACCUCAUGGCAACAUGUACGGCGACAACACGCAACCACAGCCUCAACGAAAUGGAAUCGGGUUCACUGUUUUCUAUCCGAAUCGACCACCACCAUAGCCGCAGGGCGACGGAUCCCAACCACAAUAUCACACGCGCCUUUAUCCCGAAUCCACCACCGGGUAACCAUGGGAGAAAAUACCACCUCUCCCAAGACAACCACACGAAACAUUCCUAACAUUUCCACACACACAAAAGAAAAGAAAAAACACACAGAGAAGAAACACAUGCGCCCAAAUCCGUGGCAACAAUGUGUUGUACCCACAGCUCCACUCCUUUUUCCUCCGCAAGAAAACAGAAAAAUAAAUUGUUGA
rnacentral:rRNA from 1 species